GGAAGCAAUUGCAAAAACCAAGACCGGUGAAGCAGAAGAAGGAGAAGGAGACGACAGAGACAUGGAUAUUCGUUUUGAUAUCUCUUAAUCU